GUUUGUCUAAUAGCGACGGGCUAUGUGCUUUUCACGUGCCGGGGAGAGAACGGCUGCUCGCAAUUCCUGCGAACAUGCUGCAACAGAACAAAACGCAUGAAUCUGAAACACUACCGGCGUCACAGUUAUGAAGUACCACGUGAUAGGCGUCAGAACCCAAGAGCGGUCAAUAUGAAUCAAUCGUUUUCUGUAAGAAAGCCUCCUCCACCUAAAGGUACGUUUGAAAUUUAUGUUUGAUUUUGUAAAAAAAUCAUUUAUUUAUUCGGUGUACUUAGUAAUGUCAUUACUAUCAAUAUUGAUUACUUUUAUGAACAUUUGUCAAUGUGAAGUCAAACAGUAACAACUAAUUUAUGAUUAUUGUAUUCAUUUUCACUUUCAG